rnacentral:rRNA from 1 species
GGUAUCAGAAGUGCGAAUGCUGACAUAAGUAACGAUAAAGCGGGUGAAAAGCCCGCUCGCCGGAAGACCAAGGGUUCCUGUCCAACGUUAAUCGGGGCAGGGUGAGUCGACCCCUAAGGCGAGGCCGAAAGGCGUAGUCGAUGGGAAACGGGUUAAUAUUCCCGUACUUGGUGUUACUGCGAAGGGGGGACGGAGAAGGCUAUGUUGGCCGGGCGACGGUUGUCCCGGUUUAAGCGUGUAGGUGUGUGUUCCAGGUAAAUCCGGUUCACUUUAACACUGAGGCGUGAUGACGAGGCACUACGGUGCUGAAGCAACAAAUGCCCUGCUUCCAGGAAAAGCCUCUAAGCAUCAGGUAACAUCAAAUCGUACCCCAAACCGACACAGGUGGUCAGGUAGAGAAUACCAAGGCGCUUGAGAGAACUCGGGUGAAGGAACUAGGCAAAAUGGUGCCGUAACUUCGGGAGAAGGCACGCUGACACGUAGGUGAAGUGAUUUACUCACGGAGCUGAAGUCAGUCGAAGAUACCAGCUGGCUGCAACUGUUUAUUAAAAACACAGCACUGUGCAAACACGAAAGUGGACGUAUACGGUGUGACGCCUGCCCGGUGCCGGAAGGUUAAUUGAUGGGGUCAGCGCAAGCGAAGCUCCUGAUCGAAGCCCCGGUAAACGGCGGCCGUAACUAUAACGGUCCUAAGGUAGCGAAAUUCCUUGUCGGGUAAGUUCCGACCUGCACGAAUGGCGUAAUGAUGGCCAGGCUGUCUCCACCCGAGACUCAGUGAAAUUGAACUCGCUGUGAAGAUGCAGUGUACCCGCGGCAAGACGGAAAGACCCCGUGAACCUUUACUAUAGCUUGACACUGAACAUUGAGCCUUGAUGUGUAGGAUAGGUGGGAGGCUUUGAAGCGUGGACGCCAGUCUGCGUGGAGCCGACCUUGAAAUACCACCCUUUAAUGUUUGAUGUUCUAACGUGGACCCGUUAUCCGGGUUGCGGACAGUGUCUGGUGGGUAGUUUGACUGGGGCGGUCUCCUCCUAAAGAGUAACGGAGGAGCACGAAGGUUGGCUAAUCCUGGUCGGACAUCAGGAGGUUAGUGCAAUGGCAUAAGCCAGCUUGACUGCGAGCGUGACGGCGCGAGCAGGUGCGAAAGCAGGUCAUAGUGAUCCGGUGGUUCUGAAUGGAAGGGCCAUCGCUCAACGGAUAAAAGGUACUCCGGGGAUAACAGGCUGAUACCGCCCAAGAGUUCAUAUCGACGGCGGUGUUUGGCACCUCGAUGUCGGCUCAUCACAUCCUGGGGCUGAAGUAGGUCCCAAGGGUAUGGCUGUUCGCCAUUUAAAGUGGUACGCGAGCUGGGUUUAGAACGUCGUGAGACAGUUCGGUCCCUAUCUGCCGUGGGCGCUGGAGAACUGAGGGGGGCUGCUCCUAGUACGAGAGGACCGGAGUGGACGCAUCACUGGUGUUCGGGUUGUCAUGCCAAUGGCACUGCCCGGUAGCUAAAUGCGGAAGAGAUAAGUGCUGAAAGCAUCUAAGCACGAAACUUGCCCCGAGAUGAGUUCU